CCGAUUUUUGGGCCCCGCGGUUGACUUGAUUUCUAGGGUUUGUGCUCCGAUGGCGCUGCACUGCGGGCGUUCUACAAUGAGACCAAGGGGAUGAAGGUCAGGGAUGUGCCCUCGUACGUGAAGUCGAAGCUGUCGUGGGAUCACAUCAAGAAGAGUGUGGAUCAAGCGGUGGAUCGCUACUUCGAGAAGUACAUCGAGACCAGCUCCGUCCAACCAGUACCACGUUUGCUUCGGCGGCAUGAUCUUCUCCUACCUCCUCGCCCUUCCCAAGGAGCGCCGCCACCUUGAGCACCAGCAACAGCACGCCGCUGGCGGACAUCACUGAUCGCCGCCGCCGCCCUCCCCCUCCGAUCCGCCCAGGUUUGAAGAGCUUCUCCAUGGAAGACCAGCAAUAAAAAACUUCGAAUUCCUUUUUUGCUUGUUGUCCAUGAUUUGUUUGAGAAGAUGGCUGAAAUAAAUUGUAAUGACUGUACAUUAUGGUUUUCUUUCCCCCAGUUAUAUGGUCAUGAAUUAUAAUUGCUCAUGAUGCAAACUGAGUUGUUUUUUAUUGAUUCUGGCUUUGCUAA